rnacentral:rRNA from 1 species
CCUACGGGCGGCAGCAGUGAGGAAUAUUGGUCAAUGGGCUUACGCCUGAACCAGCCAAGUCGCGUGAGGGAAGACGGCCCUAUGGGUUGUAAACCUCUUUUGUCAGGGAGCAACGCCGGCUACGUGUAGCCCGACUGAGAGUACCUGAAAAAAAAGCAUCGGCUAACUCCGUGCCAGCCGCCGCGGUAAUACGGAGGAUGCGAGCGUUAUCCGGAUUUAUUGGGGUUAAAGGGUGCGUAGGCGGAAUGCCAAGUCAGCGGUAAAAUUGCGGGGCUCAACCUCGCUCCGCCGUUGAAACUGGCGUUCUUGAGUGGGCGAGAAGUAUGCGGAAUGCGUGGUGUAGCGGUGAAAUGCAUAGAUAUCACGAAGAACUCCGAUUGCGAAGGCAGCAUACCGGCGCCCAACUGACGCUGAAGCACGAAAGCGUGGGUAUCGAACAGGAUUAGAUACCCCGGUAGUC